rnacentral:rRNA from 1 species
UCAAGUGAAGAAGCGCAUACGGUGGAUGCCUUGGCAGUCAGAGGCGAUGAAAGACGUGGUAGCCUGCGAAAAGCUUCGGGGAGUCGGCAAACAGACUUUGAUCCGGAGAUCUCUGAAUGGGGGAACCCACCUAGGAUAACCUAGGUAUCUUGUACUGAAUCCAUAGGUGCAAGAGGCGAACCAGGGGAACUGAAACAUCUAAGUACCCUGAGGAAAAGAAAUCAACCGAGAUUCCCUUAGUAGUGGCGAGCGAACGGGGAUUAGCCCUUAAGCUUCAUUGAUUUUAGCGGAACGCUCUGGAAAGUGCGGCCAUAGUGGGUGAUAGCCCCGUACGCGAAAGGAUCUUUGAAGUGAAAUCGAGUAGGACGGAGCACGAGAAACUUUGUCUGAACAUGGGGGGACCAUCCUCCAAGGCUAAAUACUACUGACUGACCGAUAGUGAACCAGUACCGUGAGGGAAAGGCGAAAAGAACCCCGGAGAGGGGAGUGAAAUAGAACCUGAAACCGUAUGCGUACAAGCAGUGGGAGCCUACUUGUUAGGUGACUGCGUACCUUUUGUAUAAUGGGUCAGCGACUUAUAUUCAGUGGCAAGCUUAACCGUAUAGGGUAGGCGUAGCGAAAGCGAGUCUUAAUAGGGCGUUUAGUCGCUGGGUAUAGACCCGAAACCGGGCGAUCUAUCCAUGAGCAGGUUGAAGGUUAGGUAACACUGACUGGAGGACCGAACCCACUCCCGUUGAAAAGGUAGGGGAUGACUUGUGGAUCGGAGUGAAAGGCUAAUCAAGCUCGGAGAUAGCUGGUUCUCCUCGAAAGCUAUUUAGGUAGCGCCUCAUGUAUCACUCUGGGGGGUAGAGCACUGUUUCGCCUAGGGGGUCAUCCCGACUUACCAAACCGAUGCAAACUCCGAAUACCCAGAAGUGCCGAGCAUGGGAGACACACGGCGGGUGCUAACGUCCGUCGUGAAAAGGGAAACAACCCAGACCGCCAGCUAAGGUCCCAAAGUUGUGGUUAAGUGGUAAACGAUGUGGGAAGGCUUAGACAGCUAGGAGGUUGGCUUAGAAGCAGCCACCCUUUAAAGAAAGCGUAAUAGCUCACUAGUCGAGUCGGCCUGCGCGGAAGAUGUAACGGGGCUCAAACCACACACCGAAGCUGCGGGUGUCACGUAAGUGACGCGGUAGAGGAGCGUUCUGUAAGCCUGUGAAGGUGAGUUGAGAAGCUUGCUGGAGGUAUCAGAAGUGCGAAUGCUGACAUGAGUAACGACAAUGGGUGUGAAAAACACCCACGCCGAAAGACCAAGGGUUCCUGCGCAACGUUAAUCGACGCAGGGUUAGUCGGUUCCUAAGGCGAGGCUGAAAAGCGUAGUCGAUGGGAAACAGGUUAAUAUUCCUGUACUUCUGGUUACUGCGAUGGAGGGACGGAGAAGGCUAGGCCAGCUUGGCGUUGGUUGUCCAAGUUUAAGGUGGUAGGCUGAAAUCUUAGGUAAAUCCGGGGUUUCAAGGCCGAGAGCUGAUGACGAGUCGUCUUUUAGAUGACGAAGUGGUUGAUGCCAUGCUUCCAAGAAAAGCUUCUAAGCUUCAGGUAACCAGGAACCGUACCCCAAACCGACACAGGUGGUCGGGUAGAGAAUACCAAGGCGCUUGAGAGAACUCGGGUGAAGGAACUAGGCAAAAUGGCACCGUAACUUCGGGAGAAGGUGCGCCGGCUAGGGUGAAGGAUUUACUCCGUAAGCUCUGGCUGGUCGAAGAUACCAGGCCGCUGCGACUGUUUAUUAAAAACACAGCACUCUGCAAACACGAAAGUGGACGUAUAGGGUGUGACGCCUGCCCGGUGCCGGAAGGUUAAUUGAUGGGGUUAGCGCAAGCGAAGCUCUUGAUCGAAGCCCCGGUAAACGGCGGCCGUAACUAUAACGGUCCUAAGGUAGCGAAAUUCCUUGUCGGGUAAGUUCCGACCUGCACGAAUGGCGUAACGAUGGCGGCGCUGUCUCCACCCGAGACUCAGUGAAAUUGAAAUCGCUGUGAAGAUGCAGUGUAUCCGCGGCUAGACGGAAAGACCCCGUGAACCUUUACUGUAGCUUUGCACUGGACUUUGAGCCUGCUUGUGUAGGAUAGGUGGGAGGCUUUGAAGCGUGGACGCCAGUUCGCGUGGAGCCAUCCUUGAAAUACCACCCUGGCAUGCUUGAGGUUCUAACUCUGGUCCGUAAUCCGGAUCGAGGACAGUGUAUGGUGGGCAGUUUGACUGGGGCGGUCUCCUCCUAAAGAGUAACGGAGGAGUACGAAGGUGCGCUCAGACCGGUCGGAAAUCGGUCGUAGAGUAUAAAGGCAAAAGCGCGCUUGACUGCGAGACAGACACGUCGAGCAGGUACGAAAGUAGGUCUUAGUGAUCCGGUGGUUCUGUAUGGAAGGGCCAUCGCUCAACGGAUAAAAGGUACUCCGGGGAUAACAGGCUGAUACCGCCCAAGAGUUCAUAUCGACGGCGGUGUUUGGCACCUCGAUGUCGGCUCAUCACAUCCUGGGGCUGAAGCCGGUCCCAAGGGUAUGGCUGUUCGCCAUUUAAAGUGGUACGCGAGCUGGGUUUAGAACGUCGUGAGACAGUUCGGUCCCUAUCUGCCGUGGACGUUUGAGAUUUGAGAGGGGCUGCUCCUAGUACGAGAGGACCGGAGUGGACGAACCUCUGGUGUUCCGGUUGUCACGCCAGUGGCAUUGCCGGGUAGCUAUGUUCGGAAAAGAUAACCGCUGAAAGCAUCUAAGCGGGAAACUUGCCUCAAGAUGAGAUCUCACUGGGAACUUGAUUCCCCUGAAGGGCCGUCGAAGACUACGACGUUGAUAGGCUGGGUGUGUAAGCGUUGUGAGGCGUUGAGCUAACCAGUACUAAUUGCCCGUGAGGCUUGACCA